UGAAUUUUCAGGUGCUUCACUGUCAAUUUUUUUCUUUCUAGUACCACAGUGUGGUUAUGAUAGGUUUACAUACUUGGCCCCCACGUGAUUUAACCUUUUUCCUUUUUGCAAAAAUGGGUUUUUUAUACGAAAGAAAUAAACGAUCGGAAGUUUUUUUUUUGUUUUUUACUGAAUUAUUGUAUUCUUUGAUCUUACAGCAUGUUUGGUUGGGUGUAUUGGCUACCGGUGGGUCCCACUUAAUUUCACUUUAAUCUUUUGUUUGGUUCAGUGUAUUGCUAUUACGGGUUUAAUACAUUACAGACCUAAUCUCCAAAAUCCACCGAUUUUUAUUCCGGAAGAAAAGCUCAGUUUUGUUGCGUAUUAAGUUCUCCCAAUUUCUUCUACCCUGUUUUACCCUCCUAACUGCUUCUUCUGAUUUCUUCUGAUUCCAUAACUUUUUCCUUCCUUUCGGCCGCCACAACUGCUUCUUCAUCACUCAUCAGCAGUCUGCUUCUUCUUCUUCAUCCGCUCGGCCCUGUUGCUGUUUCAUGGGGAUAUGCACGGUUUGUGAAUAUAAGAGAUGGUAGGGGAGCAGCACGCCGGAAGCAGCCUAGAUGCGUACAUAUCCUGUUAUACAAUGGUGCUCUUGUUUGUGCAUCAACUGGUCGAUAUGGGUAAUAAUAAUUCAUGUUAAGUUGAUAAUUCAUGAGUAUCUGUAUUUAUUUUGUUUUUGUUUUUUUUGUCAGAUGGAUAGAAUGAUUGCUUGGAAAAAUGACUGAAAAUAAAUUGAGAUGUAAUACAAAGUCAGACAGUAGCACUUGUAACACUUAACAAAUUGUGGAUACUUAUAUAUCUGUUAAGAUAUACAUGUUAUUGAUUUAGUUGGAAUCACUUGGUAUUUGAUUGAAGUUGCUUUGGUUGGU